rnacentral:lncRNA from 1 species
UUGCAUGUGUAUAACCUGGUGCACUGGAAAAAAAGCUGUCCUCCUCUGGCUCAAACCACAGUUGGCACUGUGAGUAAGAAAGAGGGGACUAGCAUCGUCAUAGACUUGAARUGCUCCGCUACAGGCCACUCAGAAAGAACAUGGGAAGCCCAUGAAAGCUGCCGUUUGGGUAUCCUUCGAGACUGAAAGCCUCUUGCUAUUUGA